rnacentral:rRNA from 1 species
AUUGAACGCUGGCGGCAUGCCUUACACAUGCAAGUCGAACGGUAACAGGUCUUCGGAUGCUGACGAGUGGCGAACGGGUGAGUAAUACAUCGGAACGUGCCUAGUAGUGGGGGAUAACUACUCGAAAGAGUGGCUAAUACCGCAUGAGAUCUACGGAUGAAAGCAGGGGAUCGCAAGACCUUGUGCUACUAGAGCGGCCGAUGGCAGAUUAGGUAGUUGGUGGGAUAAAAGCUGACCAAGCCGACGAUCUGUAGCUGGUCUGAGAGGACGAUCAGCCACACUGGGACUGGGACACGGCCCAGACUCCUACGGGAGGCAGCAGUGGGGAAUUUUGGACAAUGGGCGAAAGCCUGAUCCAGCAAUGCCGCGUGCAGGAUGAAGGCCUUCGGGUUGUAAACUGCUUUUGUACGGAACGAAAAGCCCCGGGUUAAUACCCUGGGGUCAUGACGGUACCGUAAGAAUAAGCACCGGCUAACUACGUGCCAGCAGCCGCGGUAA